UUGGAGGGCAAGUCUGGUGCCAGCAGCCGCGGUAAUUCCAGCUCCAAUAGCGUAUAUUAAAGUUGUUGCAGUUAAAAAGCUCGUAGUUGAAUUUCGGGAUUGGCGCAUCGGUCGUGCCUCACGGGGUAUGAACUGGUGCAGUCAAUUUCUCACCUUCUGGAGAACCGCGAUGUCCUUAAUUGGAUGCCGCGGGGAACCAGGACCUUUACUUUGAAAAAAUUAGAGUGUUUAAAGCAGGCAUUUUUGCUUGAAUACAUUAGCAUGGAAUAAUAAAAUAGGACGGCAUGGUUCUAUUUUGUUGGUUUCUAGGACCACCGUAAUGAUUAAUAGGGAUAGUUGGGGGCAUUAGUAUUCAAUUGUCAGAGGUGAAAUUCUUGGAUUUAUUGAAGACUAACUACUGCGAAAGCAUUUGCCAAGGAUGUUUUCAUUAAUCAAGAACGAAAGUUAGGGGAUCGAAGACGAUCAGAUACCGUCGUAGUCUUAACCAUAAACUAUGCCGACUAGGAAUCAGACGAUGUUAAUUUUUUAAUGACUCGUUUGGCACCUUACGGGAAACCAAAG
rnacentral:rRNA from 1 species